GUAAAGUCGCAAGACGCUUUGAGAGGGGCCUAUGGCCUAUCAGCUUGUUGGUGAGGUAACGGCUCACCAAGGCUAUGACGGGUAGCUGGUCUGAGAGGAUGAUCAGCCACACUGGAACUGAGACACGGUCCAGACUCCUACGGGAGGCAGCAGUGGGGAAUAUUGCGCAAUGGGCGAAAGCCUGACGCAGCCACGCCGCGUGAGCGAUGAAGGCCUUCGGGUCGUAAAAGCUCUGUGGGGAGAGACGAAGAAAGCCUGUGAAGAGCAGGCCUUGACGGUAUCUCCUUAGCAAGCACCGGCUAACUCCGUG
rnacentral:rRNA from 1 species